GACGAACGCUGGCGGCGUGCCUAAUACAUGCAAGUCGAGCGAAGUUUUUCUGGUGCUUGCACUAGAAAAACUUAGCGGCGAACGGGUGAGUAACACGUAAAGAACCUGCCUCAUAGACUGGGACAACUAUUGGAAACGAUAGCUAAUACCGGAUAACAGUAUUUCUCGCAUGAGAGAUAUUUAAAAGUUGGUUAUGCUAACACUAUGAGGUGGCUUUGCGGUGCAUUAGCUAGUUGGUGGGGUAAAGGCCCACCAAGGCGACGAUGCAUAGCCGACCUGAGAGGGUGAUCGGCCACACUGGGACUGAGACACGGCCCAGACUCCUACGGGAGGCAGCAGUAGGGAAUCUUCCGCAAUGGGCGAAAGCCUGACGGAGCAACGCCGCGUGAGUGAAGAAGGAUUUCGGUUCGUAAAGCUCUGUUGUUAGGGAAGAAUGGAUAUGUAGUAACUAUACAUGUAAGAGACGGUACCUAACCAGAAAGCCACGGCUAACUACGUG
rnacentral:rRNA from 1 species